rnacentral:rRNA from 1 species
AGUUUGAUCAUGGCUCAGAGUGAACGCUGGCGGCGUGCUUAACACAUGCAAGUCGAACGGUAACAGAAAGAAGCUUGCUUCUUUGCUGACGAGUGGCGCACGGGUGAGUAAUGUAUAGUUAAUCUGCCUCUUAGAGAGGGAUAGCCACUGGAAACGGUGAUUAAUACCUCAUACUCCUAAUUCCGUAAUGGGAUUAGGGAAAGUUUUUCGCUAAGAGAUGAGACUAUAUUGUAUCAGGUAGUUGGUAGGGUAAUGGCCUACCAAGCCUAUGACACAUAGCUGGUCUGAGAGGAUGAUCAGCCACACUGGUACUGAGACACGGACCAGACUCCUACGGGAGGCAGCAGUGGGGAAUAUUGCACAAUGGAGGAAACUCUGAUGCAGCAACGCCGCGUGGAGGAUGACGCAUUUCGGUGUGUAAACUCCUUUUAUAUGGGAAGAUAAUGACGGUACCAUAUGAAUAAGCACCGGCUAACUCCGUGCCAGCAGCCGCGGUAAUACGGAGGGUGCAAGCGUUACUCGGAAUCACUGGGCGUAAAGCGCGCGCAGGCGGCUUUGAAAGUCAGAUGUGAAAGCCUAUGGCUCAACCAUAGAACUGCAUUUGAAACUUUAAAGCUAGAGUCUGGGAGAGGAAGAUGGAAUUAGUUGUGUAGGGGCAAAAUCCGUAGAGAUAACUAGGAAUACCAAAAGCGAAGGCGAUCUUCUGGAACAGUACUGACGCUGAGGCGCGAAAGCGUGGGGAGCAAACAGGAUUAGAUACCCUGGUAGUCCACGCCCUAAACGAUGAAUGUUAGUCGUUGGGAGGCUAGUCCUUUCAGUGAUGCAGC